rnacentral:misc_RNA from 1 species
UACGUAGGGUGCAAGCGUUAUCCGGAUUUACUGGGCGUAAAGAGUUCCGUCGGUGUUUUGGGAAGUCGAUUGUUCAAGCCUGGGGCUCAACUCCAGACCGGCAAGCGAAACUCCCAAAAUUGAGUCUGUUAGGGGAAGCUAGAAUUCUCGGUGGAGGGGUGAAAUCCGUAGAUAUCGAGAGGAAUACCAGCCGCGAAGGCGGGCUUCUGGAACAGUACUGACACUCAGGGACGAAAGCUUGGGGAGCAAAAGGG